GUCUCUAUAGUGUAAGGAAUAGAACACGGUGCCUGGAAAGCACAGGUACGGGUUUGAGUCCUGUCCGAGACU
rnacentral:tRNA from 1 species